UUAAAAAAAAAAAAAAAAAAAGCCACUGUACCACCCCUUCCGCUAUCGCAUGCCCAGAGGUGACAUCCAGUCUGGAAUGGAGAAGACACAUUCCAGUCUUCGUGGGUUCGAAGAUGUUGCAGAUGGAGGAAGCCUGUUGAGGCAGAGGCUGUGAGUUGAGUUGCCGGUUAAUUGCAGCACUGGCUGUGUCGCUGGACUUCUGAGCUCUCACCUUUCACCUUUGAACUCGCUGACCAGUAUCUCCAAGGCCUCAAACCUCCUGUAGUUGCAGGGUGGAGGUGGGAGGGCUGGGAGAGGGAAGGGGUCUGCCUAGAAGGCGCCAGGGAAGCAGAUCGGGGUGGAAGCCCCCGGAGACACCCCACUCCCUGGAGCGCUGCUGGGCUGGCCGCACCUCGUCUUGCUGCAGGUUUCUACAAGAAAUUCGAGUGUGUCUGCGGCUGGUUUCUGCCAGACUUCCCUGAAAACCUGCAAACAAGAGCCCACAUGUCGUCCUCAAGGACAGCUUGUGCAGAGCACGUGGGGCGAGAAGCAUCUUGUAAAAGAACUGGGAUGUGAGCACGCGGGCCCUGCCCGUCCUGGGCCUCCCGGGGCAGCCUGUGGCCGCCCGGCCCUGCCACCGGCCACCCGCAGCAGCAGCAGGGCUGGGUGGGGGUGGGGAAGCACUGACUUCAUUUUAAAGGAAAGAAAGAAGUGCCACUACUAAAAAAUAGUUGAGACAAAUGCCCACCUUCCAUAACUCAAAUUUCCAAACUAAUUCCUGUCUGCAUUCCCACGGGAAAAGAUCCUCCUGCCGUUAUGUGCCCCAAGGCCCACGUUGGCCCCACAAGCAAACUGCUUUUGUUCCGGAACAGCAGCUUUCUCAUUUUGGGUUAACAAGGGCAGUGACGAUGCCUGCUCAACCCCCACCAGUUCAAGAGUCUGAACAGGCACAGUGGGUUGAUACAAUCCCGUCCAAAGCAGAGAACUGUGAUGCGUGGAGCCUGGGGUGGUCCGGCCCUCAGGAGAAGUGCGGAGACAGACUGUCAGGGCCUUUGAGAGGCUAUAAAUAGCAUGCCAUCCCCAGAGAGCCCUUGGGAACCCCAGAUUGGGAACCACUGGGCUGAGCCAGUUGGAUGGAGGUGCAAUGUGACCAUGCCUGGGGUCACUCCCACUUCCCCAUCAAGGGAGUCCUCACACAGCAGGAUGUUCGGGGAGAGUUUGGGGGCUGUGGGGUACCCCAUCCUGACUGCCAUGUGUGGGGUGACCCUAACUAGAUGGCUUCCCCUCUCUCAUCACCUGGGUGCCCUCGCCCCCUCCUGGGCCGUGAGUGCUCCGUAGGGGCUGGGUAUCUUUACGUUGCCAUUAUGUCUUGCUCAGGUCUCCUGCCCUGCAGCCCUGUCGUGCCAUGGUCAUCACACUGGAGUUCUGUGAACAGAGGGGGACGCAAUGAGAACUCAGAGGGGAACCCCCCUGAGAAGCCGUCUGCAGUGGAGGGAGGUCCGGGAGGGGAGGGAGGAGGCAGGCACGGCCGCCCGUCAGUGGCAGGCUGAGGGCACCCUGAGACCAGGUGUGCCCAAGCUGCCACCAAUUUUAAGGUACCUCGAGUCACUGUGGGACUUGUUCGGAGGCAGGUUGUGAUGCAGUGGCCUGGGCAGGGGCUCCCCGGGAGACUGCGCCCGGAGCAGCGAGGGUGUCAGGGGUCCUCUCCCACCUGUGGCCCCUUGGUGUCUGGAAGUGACAGCUCCAGAAAGACCAGAGGGCCCCAGAAUGCCUGUGCCAGGGAAGACGAAGCAACAUGAGGGCAAAAUUAUGUUUUUAACAAAAGAAAAGACCUCUGCCUUCUAGCACGUAGAAAGAUUUCUGUUCCCGCCCCCACACAGCCCCAGGGACCUGAAAGAAUGUGGUUUUCUGAGCACAACCUUCCCUGGCUGAAGGGGGUGGAUUUGCCGUGGAAAAGUUGCCUGUAAAAUGAAAUUUUCUACAUCAAAUGCUAUUUUCCAGUGGCCCGUGUUUUAAGAACACAGUUGCGUUCCCACUGAGAAACACCCAACUCUGAGGCGUGGCUGUUCGCGCCGUGGCAAACUCGAGCCGGUGGAGAGGUCAAGGCGCCGGUGGGCUGUGUGGCUGGUGCUGGAGUCUGGGAUUCAAAAUCUGAAUCCCUAGUGCUGCCCAAACAGGCUGAGGUCCCUGGCCAGACGCUGGCCCAAGACCACUGGUCGUACGAUGGGAGGGCCCAGAGGUGGCCCUGGGCAAGCCAGCCCCUCCGCUGGAAGGGGAGCCCAGGAACAGGGUCCCAUCGUGGUAGAGCAGCCAUCUCAUCUUGGUGUCUAAUGCCGUAGGUCAUACUCCGAUUAUCAGGCUGUGAGUAUUUUUGGUUUUAUGGUGGGCACAACUGUUUAAAGUGCUGAGGCCCCAGCUGCUAUUACGAUUUGGCUGUACGUCCCAAAGAGCACUGCAAGGCUCAGACAACAGAGUUGAACAGUCAAAGUCUCCUAAGAAAUGCUGGGCUAGGAGAACAGCUUCCCUUUCCACAAGGAUCUGCUUUAAUACGCCUAGGAGCCCUAGGAAUCUUGAACAGGAGACUGGGGUCCACAGGCUGCCUACCUUAGACUGACCUUGGUUUUCCAGAGCAUGGCCUGGGAUCCGUAUUCCAAGGGACACACUCUGGGAACACGUCCCUCAAAGGCCCUCGUAACUAAGAGGUCUCUCUAUUUCUGUAUUAGUUACCUACUGCUGCAUAACAAAUUAUCCCAAAUGUAGUGGCUUAAAACAAUAUGCAUUUAUUAACAGUAUCUCACAGUUUCCAUGGGUCAGGAAUCCAGGCGUGGCUUAGCUAGCUGGUCCCAGCUUGUGGCCUCUCUUGAUCGUCUGAAGGCUUGACUGGGGCCAGAGGGUCUGCUUCCUAAAUGGCUUGCUCGACUGGUUGGUCAGGAGGCUUCAGCUCCUUGACACGUGGACUUCUCCACGGGGCUUCUUGAGUUUCCUCGCAAUAUGGCUGCUGGCUUCCCCCAGACUGAGCGACGCAGGAGCAAGACUGCCAUUGCAGUGCCUUUUGUGACCUGGCCUUGGACAGCACACAAGGUCAUUUCCUCGGUGUCCUGUGGGUUGCAAGGGGGGACGACACAGGUUGUGAAUGUCAGAAGGUGGGAGUCCUCUGCAGACCGUCUUGGAGGCUGAUGGCCACAGUAACUGUUGCUGCGGUACAAGGACAGAUCACGUUCCUCGUUCACAGAGCUUUGUUACCGUUUUGUGGACAGGAGUAACUUCGAGAAGUAACCCGUUAACUCGGGAUGUGAAGAGAGGAGGAGAAGACCAGGGAUUUGUCAGCCACGCCACACCCCGGUGAACAACAGCAAUGGUAAUCCCACUCACCCUGCCAGGUGCCUCGCAGGCGUCAGCGUGCUGUCCAACCCUUGCCACCACACAGCACGUUCCACUAAUAGUUCCAGCUUCUAUGACAUGCGUGAAAUGAGGGGUUUUUUGUGGUGAUGGUUUGGCAACAGCAGCACAAGCAGCUCUGCCUUCUGGAAGUUCAGAGACGAGAGACUGGUAAGCUGAGUGAGCCCAUUUGGAGAAGAUUUGAGCAGGGAGUAAACUUAUUUGUUUAUCAUGGAUAAAUACCCAUGAUAUAGAGAUAAUAAAUAGAUGAGGUGAAAUAUUUAUUUCACGUACAAGAGUUAAGUACAUUAACAAGAUGAGGAGUCAUGUCUCCAGGCAGGGGCAGGACCUCCUGGCUGGAAAGCCGAGUGGUGAUACCCAAAACACCUGUGUCCCACGUCCACCCACGUUGGUCAUUAGCUGUGGGACCCAGGCAAGUGACUUCAUGGUCCUCAGUUUCCCACCUGAAAAAUGGGGUGAUAAUGGCAAACUCCUUCAGCUGUGAUGAGGAUUCAGGGAGAUAGUUCCUGGCCUGGCAUAAGGGCUUUGGGCUGUGUUACCAUGGCAAAGCUAAUGGCAGACCGUGGAGGCGGUCUGGGAUCGCCAGGUUUUAGGAUCCCUUAUAGAAGCUCUGUUGCCUAGAAGGAUCCAGUGACAAGAGAGUGGACCCUGAGCAACAGAACAGACCUUGGCUGCUGCUUGGGCCUCCUGCAGGGGUGACCUCCGAAGAGGCUGGAAGGAACUUGGCCCCUCCUGCCUCCAAGGGCAUGUGCAGGCACAGAGCCUGCCUAGCCCUUCCCUAUCCUUCCGGGGAGUGAUUUUCAACAGAGGGAGCACCUGGGGGUGUUUUCUCUUCCUCCUCGGAAGGCUCAACACACUCGGCAGGACUUAGGGGAACUCUGGCUAAAUUUGCUGUCCCAGCAAAUAGACCAGACGUAGAGGUAACACUCAGGCCCUGUGAGAGCAUCACUCACGACAGCCAAAGGUGGUGGCAGCCAGUGUCCAUCGAGGGAUGAAUCGAUAAACAAGACGUGGGACGUAGGCGUGAUGGAAUAUUAUUCAGCUGUAAAAAGGAAGGAAGUUCUGACACCACUGUAACAUGGAAGAACCUCAAGGAUAUUAUGCUGACUGAAACAGCCAAUCACAGAAGGACAAAUACCGUGUGAUUCCACUUAUAUGAGGCAGCUAAAGUAGUCAAAUCCACUGAGACAGAAAGUCGAACGGUGGCUGUCAGAGGGACUGGGGACUUCGUGUUUAAUGGGUGCAGAGCGUCAGUUUUGCAAGAUGGAGAGAGUUCUGUGGGUGGGUGCUGGUGAUGGUCGCGCAGUAUCUGAACGCACUUAAUGCCACUGAACUGUAUCCUUAAUAAUGGUUAAGACGGUAAAUUUCAUGUUAUGUAUAUUUUUCCACAAUUAAAAAAAAUCCUUAUUCCCAGUUA